UGAGGAUAUGAUUCGGUCGCGCACCUGUAUCUGAUGAGAGAUCCACGGUGUGAGGCAAAGUCCGGGCUCCGCCGGAAAGGAUGCCGGGUAAUAACCGGGGCGUUUACCUGUUAAGGGCAAACGUACAGACAGUGCUACAGAAAAUUACCGCCUGCUUCUGCAGGUAAGGGUGAAAAGGCAGGGUAAGAGCCUACCGCGGUUCUGGUAACAGGAUCGGCAUAAGCAAACCUCAUCCGGAGCAAAAUCAUGCAGCAGUUUGGUUUUCCGGCCUUAUACUGCGGGUAGAUUGCUGGAGGCAUCUGGUAACAGAUGCUGCGGAUAGAUGACCGAGCUUCCUUGUGAAGUUCCAGAACCCGGCUUACCAUAUCCUUUUUUU
rnacentral:RNase_P_RNA from 1 species